UCUAGCAUCUUUCCAUGACCAGAUAAAUGCUCAAGUGAUAAGCUUACGAUUAGCGUUUUCUCAAUAAAACAUCUUACCUACCUUAUAAAUAUUAAAAAUAUGAGUUUUUUUGUAAUGCCCCCCCCUUUACUUACACUUUACAUCCGAUUUAUGACCAUGCACCUUAACUUACAUUUCUGAGCUCACUUCUUGCAUUUCUUCCAGCUUGCCUUUCAGUUCACUCACGGUUGUCCUCUGCCUGGAUUCGAGAGCCGUCAGAAUAUUGAUCCUCCUCUUAAGUCCAGCCUCUCGGUCUUUAGCUGAUUCUAUGAUUUUGGAGUUCAUAUCUCUAUGCCCGUAAAACAUAGAAAUAACAAUAGAGAAUGUUGUAAUAGUGAAAUAUAGUAUUAGUGCAGUCAGGUUGGCAAUGACUGUAAUGCCACACCUGACAGGAUAGUGCGCAUGCGCAAGGUGAAGGGAAUCCAGGAUGGAUUAUCUGUUAUGAUUAUCAGCUGCUGCCGGAAUGGCUUGUUCGUGAUGUGUUCGUGAUUAACAAUGAAUAAAUCUAUAACACCGUAAAGUGCGUUGAUUCAUUUUCAUAUCAUCGAACAUAACAUGGUGCCGAAACCCGAUGGUUUUCCGCAAUCGAAAAAGUAAUUACGGAAUACGGUUACGGAAAAGUCGCGAGUGCUACUGCCAUGUGCCAGUGACAACCAUUGAAGCCUAAGAUUGUGCCAUCAAUCAAAGCAGGUAGCGUGCAAUUCCUGCAAAGAUCAAGAAAUAGUGUGCCAACACAAAGCUUAAGCAAUGCCGAACACAAGUGCAAAUGGAGAGACCGAGGAAAGAACAGCAUCCCAUGGCUCCACAAAAACAAUAUCUGCCAAGAUAAAGCCUCUAGAAAUUGUCGCCGGAGCAAACAUGGCCGAACGGUGGGAGCUCUGGAAGGAUAAAUUCGAAAUAUUCAUGUGUGCAACAACGUGUGAGGGAGAAUCAGAUGCAAGAAGAAAUUGCCUGCUAUUGCAAUUUCUUGGGGAUGAUGCAUAUAGCAUAUACGCAUCAUUCAAUAAGAAGUACAACGAACUCACACAUAAGCAACUCAUAGAAUUGUUUGAUGCACAUUUCAAGCCAGAAAAGAAUGUGGAAAUGGCUUUAUAUAAAUUAAUAACCAGAAAACAAAAAGAAGAUGAAACAUUGGAUGAGUUCGUCACAAGUUUGAAGAAUUUAAGCCUGGCCUGUAACCUAGACAAUCAAAGGGAUAAAAUUGUCAAAGCAAUUAUGAUUGCAAAUUUGCUGCCAAAGUUUGAAGAGGUGAGAAUCCAAAUAUUGAUGAAGCAGGAUGAAACAUUGGAGAAUGCCAUCAAAAUCAUCAAAACAUUUGAUGCAUCAAGGCGUCAGGUGCAGGAGAUGGAUGCAACUGAACCUGUGGUAGGCAAGAUCAGCAGACGUUAUCAAGAAGAUGCUCGGCAAAGUACAGAGCAGCGCAGUCAUCAAAGAACUACCAACAGUGCUAAGCAGUAUGCGAGUGGUCCGAAGCACAAGGGACAAUCAAGUCGGCGGUAUGGUUCUUCUAAGGUGCAAGCCGAUGACUCGAGAAGGAUGCGAAACUACAGUAGGUGCAAAAACUGUGGAAAUACCAAACAUUAUUCUGGAAGGUGCCCUGCCAUUGGGAGAAAAUGUGACAAUUGCAAUGGGUCAAAUCACUUCUCAAGAGUGUGCAAGUAUGCUGAGCGAAAAGUGAGACUGGUGGAUGAGGAGUCGACUGAUAGCGACGAUUACUAUUCGGAAGAUGAUGGUCCUGAGCUAUUCAUUGGUGCGAUCGAAUCCAAGCAGGAGGACGAUCAGUGAACAACAAUAGACGAGAAAGCCUGCUUCCCCACGAAAUUGCAGAUUAUCCUUACCAAAAAGUAGGCAUGGAUUAUAUGGAAUUCAACAAAGAUCUGUACAUAGUGAUAGUGGAUUACUAUUCUCAAUAUCCAGAAAUAGCAAAAAUCAGUAGUACCAAGGCCAGUAGCCUCAUAACACAGGUAAAAUCCAUAUUUGCUAGGAAUGGAAUUCCUGAAAUUAUUUUUCUGAUAAUGGGCCUCCAUUUAAUUCUAAGGAAUUUAUCAAAUUUUGUAAUCUAUGGUCAAUAAAAUCUGAAACUUCUAGCCCUCAAUACGCUCAAUCCAAUGGUUUAGUUGAAAGAACAAUUCAAACACUGAAGAAAAUGUUAAAGAAAUGUGUAGAAUCAAAGCAAGAUCCUUACAUAGCUUUGUUAAAUUUUAGAAAUUCAGCUAAAGGCAAAAUGCCUUCCCCUGCGAAACUGUUAAUGUCGCGUAAUCUAAGAACAAAAAUGUAUGUUGAUAAGUCUAUGCUAAAACCACAAGCAAUCCCAUAUGAGACAUUUCAUAACUUGAAAACUGAACAGGUGGAGCAAAUGAAAAAAUACCACAAGGGUCAUGGAGAAUUAUCAGAAUUCCAAGCAGAAGACCAGGUAUUCUUUAAAAAAUUAUGGAAAGGUAAUUGGGAACCUGGCAAAAUUGUUAAAAAAUGUCAACAACCCCGAUCUUAUGUAAUAGAAAGUAAAAAUGGAAAGCAAUACAGGAGAAAUCGUGUAUUUAUCAAACCUAGAAAAGACUGUCAGGAUGAAGAUAAUUUAAAUAAAGGUAAUAAGAUCUUGAAAAAACCUCAAACAGAGGACAAUAAGGAUAGCUGCAUCGUAGUGGAAAAAACAGCGGAAGUACAGAAAUCAAAGGCUUCAGAAAAUGAGUUAGAAGAAGAUAUCCAAUUUUAUUUGAAAGUCCAAGUACUUCUCAAAUUGAUCGAAAUUCUAAUAAUGAUCAACAAGAAAGCAUUAGUUCAGAUUAUCAAAGUCCAGUUGCUCAAAGUUCAAAUGUAAAUUUCCAGAAUUCCAACAAGAAUCAUGUAAAAUCGCGAGGUAGAGGUUUAAUGCGAGGCAGAAUAAUUAUAGAAGAGCAAAGAAUUAGAAAACCUCCAAAUUAUCUUAAGGAUUAUGUAACUAAGUAAAAAAUUAAAGACAAAUUGUAUGUAUAAACUGUGAUUAAAAAAAAAAAAAAAAAAAAAAAAAAAAAAAAAAAGGGAGUUGUUGUAAUAGUGAAAUAUAGUAUUAGUGCAGUCAGGUUGGCAAUGACUGUAAUGCCACACCUGACAGGAUAGUGCGCAUGCGCAAGGUGAAGGGAAUCCAGGAUGGAUUAUCUGUUAUGAUUAUCAGCUGCUGCCGGAAUGGCUUGUUCGUGAUGUGUUCGUGAUUAACAAUGAAUAAAUCUAUAACACCGUAAAGUGCGUUGAUUCAUUUUCAUAUCAUCGAACAUAACAGAGAAGACGUUAAAAAUCGACGAAGACUCCAUCGAUAAUGAAUUAUGCUUAGUCCAAAGGUUCAGACCUCUCUCUUGAGACUCGAUGUGAAGAUGAACUUCAGGCCCACGUCAAAAGCAUAGAAAUAUCUCGUUAGCUUUGAUUUUUUUGCAGAAAUACCGCGACUUUCUAAACUCAAAGUCACUCAUAAGUAAAACUUUCACUAGGCACAGCAUGCGACCAGUCUCGGUGUUGGAGUAAUCAUUUUUUCGCCUUUUUUAUCCGGUAAAAAAUGAAAUCGUUAUAUAUUUCGAAACGCUCCAGGGUUUUUUAAUUUAUCUUUCGUAUUGUUGUAGCCUUGAGUUGUUAUUUUACAAGGCACUAUGUGAUACAACGUUAUAAUUUUUUUUUUUUUAAUGCAACGAAGUUUCUAUUUCCUUGAAGAGGAGUUUGAAAAGGCACUGUUUCAGCCGAAACUUGGAGGGAUGGAUGGAUCCAUAGACAGAUCCAGACAUUUAAAAAGGCGGCGGGCAAUGCGGGGCCCGGGGGGCUCCCCAUAGAAAAUUGUCGAAAUUUUACAGCAUCUACCAUGCAGUUUGAGUCAAUUAUGUCAUGAGUAUAUACCAAAUGGACGUAUAUUUCUGUCAAACGGAACUAAGUGCAUUAAGACGUGAGCCCUGUUAUGCAAGUAUUCUUAUAGGUCUCAGGGCUCAUGUCUGAAUGCACAUAGUUCCGUUUAAUAGAAAUACGUCCAAAUGUGUCCUACCUUCUUUUUUCCUCCGUUCCUACCUCUUUCCCCUUUUUGUACCGGCUUAUAUACAGGCGAACUGAGGGGGGGGGGGGGUUGAUUGAGUUGCUUGAUUCGCCUAUGGGUGGAUUUUUUCAGAAAUGAAAUUUUUUAACAUUUCCUCAAGAAAAUAUCAGCACUGAAAAGUUGGCGCUCUGCCCUCCCCAGCUGGCGCCUUGAUCCACUAAGUUUAAACUAACCGCAAAUCAAAUAUUGGUUUUCUUGAAACCCGGAAAGCUUUAAAUACAUAUAUCUAGACUUGCCUGUCAUUGUCUUCCACUUUGGUGGCUUCGAGCUCUUCUGUCUUUUUGUCGAGCUCGGCCUUCAACUGUUUGACUUCUCUCAUUGCUUCAGCUAAUCUCAGCUCUGCUUCUUUCUUCUUCUGCCUCUCUUCAGAGAGCUCCUUUGACUGGUCAAUAUUUGCCUUGCUGAGUUUCUCGUUUUCACGGCUCACUUGAAGUAGGUUCUUUUCCCUGAUUUUGAACACCGCUGAGGACAUGGAGGAGAUCUGACCGGUUGUGCGCAGCUGCGAAACCUCAUUCUCUAGAGUAAUCAGUCUCUCCUCCUUGGAUUUCAGCUCCUCGGCUAACUCGGCCUUUUCUAUCUGUGAGGACAAAAAUCCUAUUUUAUUAGAAAAAAUGUUAAUUUCCUUCUCUAUCAUCAAUUUAUGUUACCCCUCUCCCCUCCUCUCUCUCCCCGUUCUUCUCUC
rnacentral:lncRNA from 1 species